GACGAACGCUGGCGGCGUGCCUAAUACAUGCAAGUUGAGCGAUGAAGAUUGGUGCUUGCACCAAUUUGAAGAGCAGCGAGCGGGUGAGUAACGCGUGGGGAAUCUGCCUUUGAGCGGGGGACAACAUUUGGAAACGAAUGCUAAUACCGCAUAACAACUUUAAACAUAAGUUUUAAGUUUGAAAGAUGCAAUUGCAUCACUCAAAGAUGAUCCCGCGUUGUAUUAGCUAGUUGGUGAGGUAAAGGCUCACCAAGGCGAUGAUACAUAGCCGACCUGAGAGGGUGAGCGGCCACCUUGGGACUGCGACACGGCCCAAACUCCUACGGGAGGCAGCAGUAGUGAAUCUUCGGCAAUGGACGAAAGUCUGACCGAGCUACGCCGCGUGAGUGAAGAAGGUUUUCGGAUCGUAAAACUCUGUUGGUAGAGAAGAACGUUGGUGAGAGUGGAAAGCUCAUCAAGUGACGGUAACUACCCAGAAAGGGACGGCUAACUACGUG
rnacentral:rRNA from 1 species